UACGUAGGUGACCAGCGUUGUCCGGAUUUAUUGGGUUUAAAGGGUGCGUAGGCGGGUUAUUAAGUCAGUGGUGAAAGCUCCUAGCUCAACUGGGAAAUUGCCAUUGAUACUGAUGAUCUUGAGUAUGAUUGAGGUGGGCGGAAUGUGUCAUGUAGCGGUGAAAUGCUUAGAUAUGACACAGAACACCGAUUACGAAGGCAGCUCACUAAGCCAUAACUGACGCUGAUGCACGAAAGCGUGGGGAGCAAACAGG
rnacentral:rRNA from 1 species